rnacentral:rRNA from 1 species
CAGCUUAACUGUGGAACUGCCUUUGAUACUGCCGAUCUUGAGUGCGGGAGAGAGAAGCGGAAUUCCAGGUGUAGCGGUGAAAUACGUAGAUAUCUGGAAGAACACCGGUUGCGAAGGCGGCUUCUUGGACCGACACUGACGCUGAGGCGCGAAAGCGUGGGGAGCGAACAGGAUUAGAUACCCUGGUAGUCCACGCUGUAAACGAUGAAUGUUAGAUGUCGGGGGAUUUUUCCUUCGGCGUCAAAGUUAACGCAUUAAACAUUCCACCUGGGAAGUACGAUCGCAAGGUUGAAACUCAAAGGAAUUGACGGGGGCCCGCACAAGCAGUGGAGCAUGUGGUUUAAUUCGAUGCAACGCGAAGAACCUUACCUAGGCUUGAAAUGUGUUCGAUCGGUCGUGAAAGCGACCUUCCUUCGGGCGGACACACAGGUGCUGCAUGGCUGUCGUCAGCUCGUGCCGCGAGGUGUUGGGUUAAGUCCCGCAACGAGCGCAACCCCUACCAUUAGUUGCCACCGGGUAAUGCCGAGCACUCUAAUGGAACUGCCUACGCAAGUAGUGAGGAAGGUGGGGGCGACGUCAAGUCCGCAUGGCCCUUACGCCUAGGGCUACACACGUGCUACAAUGGGCGCAACAAUGGGCAGCGAUACCGCGAGGUGGAGCGAAUCCCUAAAAAGCGUCCUCAGUUCGGAUUGGAGUCUGCAACUCGACUUCAUGAAGUUGGA